ACGGAAGGCAGCAGUGAGGAAUAUUGGUCAAUGGGCGGAAGCCUGAACCAGCCAAGUCGCGUGAAGGAUGAAGGUAUUAUGUAUUGUAAACUUCUUUAGACGCAGAGAAAUAAGCGGGACGUGUCCCGCGAUGCUAGUAUGCGUAGAAUAAGGAUCGGCUAACUCCGUGCCAGCAGCCGCGGUAAUACGGAGGAUCCGAGCGUUAUCCGGAUUUAUUGGGUUUAAAGGGUGCGCAGGCGGUUUUUUAAGUCAGUGGUCAAAUCGCGGAGCUCAACUCCGUCCCGCCAUUGAUACUGGGAGACUUGAUUGCGGUCGAGGUUGGCGGAAUUCGUCGUGUAGCGGUGAAAUGCAUAGAUAUGACGAAGAACACCGAUUGCGUAGGCAGCUGACCAGGCCGUAAAUGACGCUCAUGCACGAAAGUGCGGGGAUCGAACAGGAUUAGAUACCCUGGUA
rnacentral:rRNA from 1 species